GCUUUUAAGUAUUUUUUCCUUACUUUCUCCUCUUUCUUCUACAGGUCCUACGGCUAUGGAGUUGGCAGGUGUUGCAGUGGGGUUUCCGUCGUCCGUAUUCUGUCCAGGUCCGGGUAAUUCAGGUCAGUUUGCAAAAAUUUUAAAUAUCUUUUAAAUAAUUAUUUAUAUAUAUUUAUUUUUUUUUUUACAUAUAUAUACGUAUAAAAAUACUGAGCUACUGGGUGCAAAUCUGCCGCAAAUUCUUCUAAAAAACUAGGCCUGAGCUCAACCCUAACGUCGCGCACGCUUGGCGGUAAUUUUUGGCCAGCGGUCUGGUCCGAUUCUAACCAAUGGUACUGUCAGUCCGUCUUGUCGUUCAGGGUCAAAAAUCUUUAUGGUCGAAACCUUUGGUAUACCUGCGCACCCCAGGAUUGGCAGUGCGGAGCCGAUGUUCCCAAAUGAAAGAUCCCACGUUGGAAGUCGGCAGAGGUGGCGUUGAAAUAUUUGUAUAACCUUUUUUUUUCGGUGUUCAAUUUAUAUAAUUUAUAUUAUAUUGUUUGAUUUAAAUAAAGACUUUAAAAAUG